rnacentral:rRNA from 1 species
AUGCGCUCUGCCUCUUCCUCGCAAAGCAAAAGGAACAUGUGCAGUGCGGCGGACGGCUGCUGGGCAACGAUACCUGCACCUGGUGCUCUACCCAGCAUGGACCGUCAAGUUGCUGGGAUUGGUGGUGGGUGUUGGUCAUACCUUGGUAUAUAUGCUUGGCACUAUUUGGAGUCAAAAUUACGAACGUCCACUGCCGAUCUAUUUGGUAUUUUGGUGCAUGUCUUCCCCCGGCCCAGGUACAAGGGGCUCAUUGGUCGCUUGGCCUGCUUUUGGUAUAUCAAUGAGGAUAUCCCUGACAUAAAUUCGUUUAGUGACAGUCUUGGAGAGAAAUUUACUAUUGUCGAUGCAUACACUCAUCCGGGGUAG